GUAUCUCUGGGCGGCAAAAGACUGUGAACCCCGCCAGGCCCGGAAGGGAGCAACGGUAGCGGUUAUUUUGGGUGCUUUGGGACGGCUG
rnacentral:SRP_RNA from 1 species